CAGUGAACUACGCCGAACAAGUAAUCCAUGCAAUCGAAGAAGAUGGCUUAUUCGGGCAACACAUGUUUUCCGCGGCUUUGCGGUGUGCUAACCCGAGGAUUUCUAGUGCCGGGAAGAUUUCUCAGCAUUUCCUAAAAGCAUGGGCUCUUCCUCAAAAAACAAGCAGCCAUGGUGGAUGCACUUGGUGACUUGCUAAUUGACCUAGCAGGUGAUGGCCGAUGUGACUCUCCUGCCUACAGCGCCGAGUAUCUCACGUACAGUGUGCUUGGCAUGCAGAAUGGCUGCAUUUUACCCACUAAGCUGGUGCAAGUCGGAGAGUCCCCUACAGUGUCUUCAUGAAAAAGCAAGGAGAACUCCUAAGUGCCUGACUGCAGUGGAGAAUCUAGGCAUCCAAAUAUGCUCGUUGACAACAGGAUAUGUUUAAGAGCUGUUGGAACAUACCAUGGACCUCCACAAACUCUCAUCAUAUAAGAAGAGCUUUACAAGCAAUGAGGCAGCAAAGCCGUGGCAUAUAUCCCUCACCUAUGACAAGCUAUCUGAGGAGGAGCAUAUAUUUCAGAGGCACACACGCUUUCCAACACCAUCGACCUCAAAUCAGUGACAUGCAUUUAUUCUGAUGAUGUUGUUUUGGGUUUUAUGCCCCAAAACCGUGAUGUAAUAAUAAUGAGGUAUGCUAUAGUGAAA